rnacentral:rRNA from 1 species
UACGUAGGGAGCGAGCGUUGUCCGGAUUCAUUGGGCGUAAAGAGCUCGUAGGCGGCUUGGCAAGUCGGGUGUGAAAACUCCAGGCUCAACCUGGAGACGCCACCCGAUACUGCCAUGGCUAGAGUCCGGUAGGGGACCACGGAAUUCCUGGUGUAGCGGUGAAAUGCGCAGAUAUCAGGAGGAACACCGGUGGCGAAGGCGGUUCUCUGGGCAUGUCCUGACGCUGAGGAGCGAAAGUGUGGGGAGCGAACAGG